UACGUAGGGUGCAAGCGUUGUCCGGAAUUAUUGGGCGUAAAGAGCUCGUAGGCGGUGUGUCGCGUCGGCCGUGAAAACCUGCAGCUUAACUGUGGCUUGCGGUCGAUACGGGCAUCACUGGAGUUCGGCAGGGGAGACUGGAAUUCCUGGUGUAGCGGUGAAAUGCGCAGAUAUCAGGAGGAACACCGGUGGCGAAGGCGGGUCUCUGGGCCGAUACUGACGCUGAGGAGCGAAAGCGUGGGGAGCGAACAGG
rnacentral:rRNA from 1 species